rfam:Pteropus alecto contig22251, whole genome shotgun sequence.
GUCUACGGCCAUGCCACCCUGAACAAGACCAAUCCUGUCUGACCUUGGAAGCUAAGCAGAGUUAGGCCUGAUUAGUACUUGGAUUGGAGACUACCUAGGAAGACCAGGUGCUAUAGGCG